AGAGGAAUUGCUAGGUUAUAUGGUAACUCUGUUUUUACUUUUUUGAGGAAUUGCCCUACUGUUCUCCAUAGUCACUUCACCAGUUUACAUUCCUAUCAACAGU
rnacentral:pre_miRNA from 1 species